GGGGGUGACGCCAGUCAUGAGGGCUCAGACCUGCACCGAAAAAUCCCCUUCAAAAGCUGCAGCUAGGAGUUCCCGUCGUGGCGCAGUGGUUAACGAAUCCGACUAGGAACCCUGAGGUUGGGGGUUCGGUCCCUGCCCUUGCUCAGUGGGUUAACGAUCCGGCGUUGCCGUGAGCUGUGGUGUAGGUUGCAGACGCGGCUCGGAUCCCGCGUUGCUGUGGCUCUGGCGUAGGCCGGUGGCUACAACUCCGAUUCGACCCCUAGCCUGGGAACCUCCAUAUGCCGCGGGAGCGGCCCAAGAAAUAGCAACAACAACAACAACAACAACAACAAAAAAGACAAAAGACAGAAAAAAAAAAAAAAAAAAAAGCUGCAGCUAGCUUUCGAAUAGGCUUUUCCGGCUUCAUAAUAAAUAACCCAGCUGUAGAGUUAUCACAAGAGAACUCCUCUACACACUUUGCUGAAUAUAUUUUUGUUUUCACUUUGUUGGCUUGGGAGCAGGGAGUAAACACUCAGUGAGCCCCCCCCCCCAAAUGAAGCUCCCCAAAUGAAGAAAUACCUCCUGCUGUAUAAACAGCCAGCCCUCAAACUGACUCAGAAACCGCCCAGGCAGGUAUUCUGAGUCCCUGUGUGAUUCAGGACCUGUCGACCUCUCCCCUCCGCAGGCCUAAGAGAACUUAACGCUUUCCCCUCCCACCAGCUCGCAGCGGUGCCUUGGGGAUGGAAAAACUCAAUGUGGCAAAGUGCAGGGCAGAUUUUUUUAAAUGCCGCAGGAAAGAUCCGGUAAAAAGCACCUGUGUUUCGUGAGACGGAGCUGCUGUGGAAAAGACCCGUGGCGCACUGUCUUCUUGGGUCCGGGGCCAGCAGAUCCAUCUUCUAGAAUUCAAGACCAAAGGUGGGAGGACACGGCGGAAGGUUUUGAGAAAGGAAGUGGAGCGUCCUCUUUAGACCCACGGGGCUCAUCCUGUUUUUUCCGACGUCUCUGGACAGAGGAUGCAGUCAGCAUAAAGACGUCGUGUUGAUGAUGCUGCCAGAAGGAGCCCGCAGUGUUCCCGUCGCAGGAACGUGGCUUCAGGUGCAGUUUCACCUCGAAAAGUGAGCAGGACCAGCUUUCCUCAAGGAAGCUCUGGCUCCUGGUGUCAUUAUAGGCCUUGGGGAGGGGGCCCUGGCUGCGGUCCUUUGUCCUGUCUCCACUGUCACUCCUUCCUCAAAACAUACAUAUUCAUGCCCGGGCGUCAUCCUUUGCCGAAGGGACCCACUCUGUGCCUGAGCACCUGUCCCCGCGAGGGGCCAUGCCAGCCGAGUCCUUUUCCGGCACAGGGUCAUCAGCUGAGCCGUCUGACGGGCAGCACGUGCUCUGACGCACCUGGCCCCACCUUCCUCCACGAAUGGACACCGUUAAUCCCAAGUCAGGCCGGCUGGGAUUCUGGCCACACAGGGGCAAGGCCUUCGUCAAAGAAGAACUGUCUCAAAGGGCAGCAAGCACCACAUUAGGGUGCCCUCCUGUUCCGUGGAAACUUCAGACAAGCAGCCCUUCACUCUACUAAGGCAUACAGUCCUGGCGCAUCUUCGCGGGCCUGGGCACUGACUGUGUGAGCACUGAGACCAGGCCUGGAGGAGCCCCAAACCCUCUGCCUCCCGGAGCGUCCAGUCUGCACGCCAUUCCGGUUCUGCAGGUGUGGCUUCAGGCGAAUGUCCCCACCUGGACCACCUGUUCUGAACAUCAGAAUCGGAGACAAGUGAUUGCUUGAACUCAUCCAGGAAUCGAAGCGAUCCCUAUGACCUGUUUUCAAAGAUUUCAUUCAGGAAUACACUCGAAAAACAGAACAGUGGACCUCUUAAUUCUAAAAUGAGGAGGCGUGGAGUUCCCACUAGGGCACAGUGGGUUGAGAACCCCACUGCAGCGGCUCAGGUUGCUGGUGAAGCGUGGGUUCCAUUCCAGGCCUGGUGCAGCGGGUUAAAGGAUCUAACGUUGCCGCCCCGCUUGGAUUCAGUCCCUGGCCCCCCAGGAACUUCCAUAUGCCAGGGUGCCACCCUAAAAAUUAACAAUAAAUGAAAAAAUAAACUGAGGAGGUGUGAGGGGCACCCAUACAUUCUUGUGUUUCUACAACAGCCGAGCAGCAAAGGGGAGACUUGCUGGGGCCCCUCAGUUCAUUGUUGUAGCAUCAUAAUCCCUCUUCCCCGCAUUUGAGAGGCUUAAGGGCUGUCACCCGCAAGAGGCCAGAGGAGGCAAAUCCAGUGGUAAUGGCCUCACACACUGUCAUCAGAGAGACUCAGUAAAAAGCCUUUCAGUUUCGUUAAUCAGAAAAAGCCUUACGGUUAAUGAGACUGUGCAAAGCCUGGACGUGGAGGUAAAAGUCCAGCCUUGAAAUGACCCCUCGGGUAUGUGCCACGUGCUCUGCCAUUGGCAUUGGGUCUUUGGGCCACAGGGUCCUCACUUGUAAAAUAAGGCCGUGCUGGACUACACCUGGCAGCCCUCCUCGUCGUAACCUUCUCUAAUCUCUGACGAAGGUGGCACUGUCCUUUUGUGAUUUGAAUUCAUCGAUUAGGCAUUUCAUCAAUGGCCAGUGUUGCUUCACUGCUGAGAUUAGAAUAAUGAUGGUGAGGCUUCAGGGUUAACAAUUAACUAAAAUAAAUGAGCCAUUUCACACCUCUGCCAGUGCUCUCCUUUCCAACUCUUGAUAGAACAAACAAACAGCAAACAGCAAUGAAUGAAUUCACAAGCAAAGAUUAUUUUUGGCAAUUAGAAAAGUUAGACACUUCUCUGUACAUACACAUUAUGUACAGAAAUAGGUGUACACAUUUAUAACUGUGUGUAUACAUGCUACCAUUUGCCAUUAAAUGUGAAUGUUCCCAAAUAGUAAAUUACAAGAGCUUGUAAUAUUUGUAAUAUUUAGUGAGCACAGACUAUGCACCAAACACUGUUGAAAACUUGAUUUACAGUAUCUGUAACUUCUUAUCAGUAAUUUCUUCUGUUUCCAGUCUUAACACCCAAAAGUGAUUUCUCAUAAUAUGGAAGUUUAUAAAGUUUAUUGCAAACAUCUUGUCUGGGAGGCAUAAGUGUUAGAGCAUCGAGAGACAAUAUUUCAUAAAAAAGGACUCCAACUUGUCUGAAUUCUGGGGCGAAGCCUCACUGGAAAGGCAUGCAUUUGAUCAUGUUUAUGUCUGGGGGCGGGAAUUCCGUCCCUAAAUAAUUCUUCCCUUUUGCAGAGAGAGGGAAAAUCUUGGAGUUUAUGGAGAAUGGGAAACAUUUCCAUCUCUAGUGAGAUUGGAAAAAAAAGUCUCGAGUUCUCAGUGUGGCUCAGCGGGUUAAGAAUCCAACUAGUAUCCAAUAGGAUUCGGGUUCGAUCCCUGGCCUAGCUCGUUGGAUUAAAGGAUCUGGCAUUGCUGUGGCCAUGGCGUAGACCGGCAGCCCUGAUUCGACCCCUAGACUGGGAACUUCCAUGUGCUGCAGGUGCAGCCCUAAAAAGAAAAAAAAAAAAAACAAAAAAAA
rnacentral:lncRNA from 1 species